GACGGAGGGUGCGAGCGUUGUCCGGAAUCACUGGGCGUAAAGGGCGCGUAGGCGGCCUGAUAAGUAGGGGGUGAAAUCCUGCGGCUUAACCGCAGGGCUGCCUUCUAAACUGUCAGGCUAGAGCACUGUAGAGGCAGGUGGAAUUCCCGGUGUAGCGGUGGAAUGCGUAGAGAUCGGGAAGAACAUCAGUGGCGAAGGCGGCCUGCUGGGCUGUUGCUGACGCUGAGGCGCGACAGCGUGGGGAGCAAACAGG
rnacentral:rRNA from 1 species